GAAAAGAAUAUUGAACCGCUACGUGGGCGUAAAAUCAAGCGGAAAUCUUCGAGCAAUAUUCUUUGCUUUUCUAGUGGACCUCGCAUAUUUCAUUGCGCCUUCUCUCCUUUCAGUCGAGCCCUCAGUCCUAUCCAUUAGACUGCACCUCGCAAUAUUCUUUGCGCCUGCGCCUGGACCUUUCUUUGACUAUCGUAGCAAGAGUAGCUGAAGGAUCAAUGAAAUUUGAUGAUUGAUGCCAUAAAGGAAAAGUCCAAGGAUUUAGUUAUCGAUGUUCUCGGAAGAAUAUUGCGGAGUGAAUUUAAGGAAGACGAAGUUCGAGCAAUCCGAACGGAAGAAAAGGUCAAUGGAAGUCCUGGAGCCUCCGGAGUGCUCCUUAUCUCUAUGGUACUAGUAAGAGAAAAGACCCGUCCUUUUUCUUUAUCAAGCUUAACCUUUGUAAUAGGUUGAAUAGUCAGCUGGUCCGAAGGCGCCAUAAGACAGGUCCGAAGGCGCAAUGAAAUAUGCGUUGAGAAUUUGAGAGAAAGAAAGAUUAGACUUUCCAGUUCUUCCCGCUCCGUGGGCCCUUCGUUAAUUACGGAAAGUCCUCCUUCCUUCCAUAUGGAUGGUCCUACUUCUGUUAAUUACGGAUGGUCCUACUUCGGUUAAUUACGGAUGGUCCUACGGAUAAAUCACCUGGACCUUUCUUUGGCCCUGCGGACGUAGGACUACUUCGGUUAAUUACGGAUGGUCCUACGGAUAAAUCACCUGGACCUUUCUUUGGCCCUGCGGACGUAGGACCCUGGACCUUUCUUUGGCACGUAGGACAGCUCAUUAACGAUAAUGAAAGAAGAAAAAAAUGGGAAUGAAAAAGAAAGAGGUGAAUAUGGGAGAUUUCAGACAUCGAUUUUAGUCUUUUUGACGGAGUGAAUUCCAUGAUUUUGCUAGGUUUUGCCCAUAGGAAGUAGCAAGAAAAGACAAAAAAUCAGUCAAAAUUGAUCUAUUUUCGUUAAAUAUCAAUAUGAGAAAAAGUCCUAUUUAGAAGCAAAAAAGCCGGGAAAACGCAAUGAAAGAAGAACUCCUAGGACAGGGAAAAGAAAUGAACAGAGUUUGAUUAUGGUUUCUGGUCCGGAGAAAUACGGGUCUAUUCUUUGAUCCUUCUAAUGGAUAGUCCUCCUUCCCUCCAUAUGGAUGGUCCUACGGAUAAAUCACCUGGACCUUUCUUUGGCCCUGCGGACUCCGGACCCUGGACCUUUCUUUGGCCCUGCGGACUCCGGACUACGGACUACGGACUUUCGGUAAUUAACCGAACUUUGCACAAGGCUUCCGCUUAAAUGUCUUUCGAAACUCAUAUAUAUCCUGGUGGGAGCUUCCUUUUCUCAUUCUCGAUUUGAAUUGGACUUUAGUAGGUCGAGCCACUAUUUUUCCUUGCUGGGGAUGAAACUGAAAGGGAUGAGUUUGCUCUUGGUCACCUCGUAGAUUAGCCGCUCAUUAAUAUGAAGAGAAGAAGCGAGAAAGGUUCGCCACUAUUCAAAACCGUUAAGGUCUGAUCGAGAAGCUCUUAUCCAGAGAUGUCUUUCCAAAAGCAGCUAUCUAGGGAAAUGAGAGAGAUAAAGAAUGAGUUUAGACGAACGAGGCCUAGCCUAAGACAUAAGAACAAAAAAAGCUUUGUAGAGAGACUCUAAUUCUUUGAGCCUCUUAGCGGAAUUAGACCGAGCCCUUGCUGCUACCUUGGCUUGGAAGCUAGGGUGCGCGGGGCGAAGCGGUAUUUCCCCGGUGGAACGAGAGAAAGGAAUGAUCGAGAUCAGGAUCGGCAUCACCUGGAAAGGAAAGGGUCUCCACCGGAGCAAGAGCGAGACUUGUAGAGAAGGAAGAGAGUGUCCCCUCAUUGAGAUCUUGCUAAGGCAGAGGAAGAAGGAGAAGUUGAAGAACUAGCUUAGAUUAUAGAUCAGCCUGUGACACAAUGACUGAAAUCUCUCAGCAGGCUUCGUCGUGCCCUAAUUCCCCAGACGCCCUACCCUCCCUGGACCUGAAAGAGAGAGCGCCAAUUCCUUCCACCGAUUUCCCACUACGCGGUUGAGGCAAUCCCCCUAUCGUUCAGGCAGAGCUUUUCUACCUGUGCGGAAAGGAGGCAAUUCAGGUUUCCUUUCGUCCACAGGGUGAAGGGGCAUAGGCGCAUAGGGCCAUAGACCGAAAUGGUUAAAGAACAUUUCUUUCGUGAAUGAAGAAAGCUUUCUUUAUCCUUAUGCCACAUCUCACUGAGAAAAUCAGUCAAAUGAGUCCUUCUCACCCAGCCGGGCUAAAGCACGAACCCUCAAAGACUUUACCACUUCCAUCCAUAAAUAGGGGAAUGAGCCCAACUGAGUCCGCUCGAGCCCUUGUUUUGACUCCUCUCAAAUCCCCCGUCCUCAGUCCUAUCCAUAUUAACCUGUGACGCAUCUGGACCCCUUAUAAUUGGAUUGCGCCUUUCUUUUUUUCUUUAUAAAGCUUAGUUCAUUCUAAUUCUAAAAGGAGAUUUUCAUCAAUCUCAUUUCAAAUCUUCCCCAUGCUAAAUCUCACAUCGGAAAGUCAAGAAGACGGACGAGAGGCGGAAUGAAAUAUGCGUUGACAAGACUGGAAGGCGCAUAUUGCCCAUUAGAGAAUUUGACUUUGGAGGAGAGGCUCAAUUCAAAGUUCAGCGGGAAGAACUGAUCGCAAUAUUCUUUGCACCUCCUUCAGCAUAAUCUAUUCUUUGCGCCUGUCUGUCCUUCGUCCUGGAGCGGUUUAAGACGCCUCAUAUGGAUAAAAACAAGUCGUCCUGGAGCGGUUUAAGAGUCCUAAGUAGCUUAUCUAGACUCGUCCUCCGCGGUUCAAAAUGGAAGGCUCAAAGGAUAUUGAGGCGAUGACAUUCUUUAUUUAGUCGCUCGCAAGAAGGCAAUAUUCAAAGCUCUUUUUUAAGCAGCUGCAAUAAUGAAAGGGAUCAUGACGCAAUAUUCUUUGCGCCUUCUACGCGGUCUCGCUUCUUCUUCGCGACUAAGUUCAGUGCUUUCUUUCAUUCUUCUUCCUUUGAAUGAGAAAAGGGCAAAUGCCAUGUUCAAAGCUUGAUUUUUCUCAUUACACGGGGAAUGAACUAGCCUUUGUUCGCCGACCGCGGUCUGUCUUCUUUAUCCUGAUGUGACUAGAGUCUUUUCAUUAUACAAGCACCGAAGCGCUACGCAUAUUUCAUUGCGCCUCGUUCAAAGCCUUUUUCUAUUUCAAGAAAGAGAGAUAUGAACUUCUCCUUAAAGAACUAGGAGAGAAAAUCGACUUCUGCCGGUCCGUCCUUAGUCGUAGUCUGAAAACCUUUGCCUAUUCCCCCGCUCCGUGGGCUUCAACAAAGGGUACGGAUGAUGAUUCCUUUUUGUUAUUUCCCCUUCUCCUAAUAUAAUAGGGUUAGUCGAGCUUCCGAAUCAGGCAGGUGUCGUGAGCGCCGAUUGGUCGAGGUGACUUGGCUUCCACCGCAUUGAUGACUAAGAAGCUUAGAUGAAAGGCUUAUGUCUUUUUCUGCUGACUUUGAUUUCAUUAUCCAUUCCACCUUCCUUCCAUCCGCAUUCGUCGAUGAGUGGAAUCCCUUUUCGGUAAAAAAACCAGUCGAGCCACUUUCUUUAGCCUUGGCUAGCUCAUAAGGCAUGAAACUAAGCGACUUCUGAAACAAGAAGAGCUACCCUUGAAAUAACCACAGCAACAGGAACAAGAACUGCCACAGCCGAAAGAACUAGGUCCUUCUAACCUCUCCUCUCCAGUCUCGCUUCUUCGAACCAGCGCCGGAACUGAAAUCCUUCGCCCACGGAUCUUUCUCUCGCGCGGGUCUGGCUCUCUCACUAUUAGAAUCUCUUCGUAGACCGGCCGAGACCAGUGGGCAGCGGUCACUUCCAGAGUCAGGAUGAUAUCAGUCAACUCAUCUGGAGCUUUUCAUUGAUCUCUUUCAAAAGAAAACCCUCUUCCUUUCAAAGUAAUAGGUUGAAUAGUGAAAUAGUGGGAUUGAUUUUGAUCCACUAGAAUGAACCGCGUAGGAGGAGGAUCAGAUCAAGGUGAACAAGAUCCCCAUAUUCAUUGGGGCGAAGAGUUUACGUAAAUCAAAGAAAAUGAGCUCAUUAACGAGAAUGAAAGAAGAAAAAAAUGUCUAAUCUUUGCUCAAGAUGACAUUCUUUCUUUUGGUGAUCGAGACCGCGUAGAAGGCGCAUAUUGCGAGAAACUUGAUUUGAGAAUAUUGCGUGAAAGGUCAAAAUAGUAAGGAGCAAAGAAUAUUGCGUGGAAGUGCACUAAUAGGGAAAAGUCAAUCAAAGAAAAGAAGCUCAUUAACGACUACUGGAUAAAGAAGUCCUUCGGACGGAACAUGGGAUCAAGCCUAUUUUCUAGCUUGCUUUGGACGAAUGCUUUCUUUCCUACCCAUUUCGAGGCGAGAUUAGAUUGAGGAGACGGAGUUCUAUUUAGAUAAGAAAAAAGACCUAGAGGGAGAGAAGAGGGAAAGAUGGAAAAACCCACUACGCGCCCCCAUGUGAGAUUGAAGUUUGAACGCCAAAUCAGCCAUUUGCUAGUAGGGACAAUCGAAGAUGUAGUAACUUCAGGCCGGUGAACAUGAGGAGCGAGUGAAAAGAGGCUAAAAUGGUUUUAGCAAAGAAGAUGUCUACGAGUCAAAAUCAUCCCCUAUCCUAGUGCGUGCCCCGUCUGUGACCAGACGGACUAUGAAUAUAUCUACUCCGAAAGGGACUAAGUUGCUGGAGGUGUAGAGGAGAGGGACAGAUUUGACCUCUGAUUCCGCUGACUCUGAAAGAAGGACUGGUGGGGACUUUCUUCUAUUCGCUCGUGAACUCGACCGCUUCCUGAACUCUUGAAAGGAAUUGAAGGACGGGUUCAAACUACGAACCGGACCGACCCGGCCGCUGCCUCUUCUUCUCUCGAUCCUAUCUGAGCCCACUGGGUCUCGCGACUCAAAUCCCCACUUUCCCACGGUUUUGAAGUGACUUAUGAAAGUAUGAAUCACGAGACUCUGCGGGAAGAGGAUUCUCACUCCUUCUUCUUCCCUCGCUUUCUCUUUCAUCUCUUGCAUCCACGCUUGGGCACGAAGGAAUCGGAAGACCUUCGUUAUAUAAUUAAUAAAAAAAGCAAAGUCUUCCCAUUCCCCAUUCAAUCAUCCCACUGUGGUAGGAGCCGGAGAGCAUAACUUAAAGAGAAAGCAGAAGCCUCACAGGGGACGCGAAGAGUAGGGCAUUCCCUGAAUUAGCUAGCAAGGUCACAUCCAUCGAGUAAAGAUGAACCGUCCGGAGGACUAAGAAAUCCAUAUGAGCCUUGAUUUAUUCCUUUUUAGAUCAAGAUUUUCAGUCCUAUCAUGCACAAUCUGAGGUAUUUUUCGGGUAUUAGACUGAUUUGGGAGAUGCAAGCUCAACCCACGGAGCGGUAGAUUCCCCUUACCCUACUUAUGUAUCAAUCUGCCGAAAGCGAGAAGUCUUCUCUUAUUGGGUUUCUUCUGCAAAGUUCAGAAGUAGAAGGGCUCGAAUAUAAUAUUGAGUCUUUUUUUUUCCUAUUUAUGUGAGGGGAAAUCUUUCAAUUAUUUCCGUAAAUAAUCCCCUCCGGUCCAGCUCUUCAUGGAAGUCGAGAGUGAAUCUUGAAGUGCGCGGGCAAUGCCGCUCAGUCUUAAAGUGGAAUCUUUUCGGAUGGGCUUCUUCUUCGUAUGACUCGGUAGCCAUAGCCCCAGGACGAAUACGAAUACAACCAGAGUCAGAUCUUGAACUUGAGACUUAAUAGAAAGGGAUAGAAAGAAGAAUGAACUAUUCACGGUGCCCACGUAGCGUCCAAGAAGAUUUUAGUUCCUGAAGAGCAAUAAGAAAAAGCAAAGCGGUGGCACUAUCAAAAGGACCCGUAGGCAAGGCUCCAUAAGACGGGGAUAUUGUGGACCCCUCGGACCCAGUUCCUUUGUUUAUAGUCAUAGUCUUUGAAUCGAUGUCUUAAGCAAAUGUAAAUGAAAGAAGAAGAAAGUUCAACGAAAGCCAGCGCUGAUUAUUGCGGACUCCUUCACAUCUUAUUCCUCGGAGGCUUUUAGGAUUUCUUAUCUUUUCUCGACUUUCUAUAUUUCAAGAGGGCGGGGAUUUGAAUCAAAAUCUUCCAUGAAGCAUAGGGCUUCAAAAUCAAACAAAGAGAUUCUCACUAAGAAAUCUUCGAUUUACCCACUACUUCAAUCUGAUUUCAUAUUUUCCUUUGUAUGAGAAAAUGAAACUUGGUCUUUUCCUCAUGCAAGAAUUCAGUACAAAAGCAGAAUCGGAAUACAAGGCUCAGCGAGGCCUCGGACGAAUGAAUCUUUUCUCUUUAUCUCUUUCCCAAGUGGCUUUCUUGAAUCCGUGCCUGCUUCGGCAUAGCCGCCCGAUAAAGCAGAUAGAGGCAAGUCCUCCGAAACCUUUUUGAAAGAAAGAGAGGGGCGCAGAGACUCGACCGUAGGGAGAGGGGCGAAGCCGAGAAUGAAACUGAAAGAGAGAGAUCUCACAAGAAGAAUUGAACUUCUUCAUGGGAUUCCCUUUAAAAGAAUGAAAGACAAAGAGAGAUUCAACAAGAUCGAAGAAGGAAAGAAAGAGAGAUCAUGAAAUCGUAAACUCAUGAAAGAAGAUAAGAGUUCAAAGAGUUCGAUCCAAGAAUUCGAAAGACUUCUCUCUCUCUAUGUUCUUGACUUCGUUCUUUAAUUCAAGAUCUGUAGAAUGUGAAAGAUGAAUAUUCUUUACUUGACUUCCUUCUUUACAUCGAAGACUUCUAAAUCUUAAUUCAAGAUCUCAUUCAUGACUUCGGAAAGAAGAAUGAAAGAUCCAAAUGAAAAAACCUUCUCCGCCUCUGAAAGAAGAAAGCCGUCACACAAAGAAAUCAAGAUCAAGCCUAGCCUGAAUGAACAAGGCCUUUCAUUCGAAUGCUCUCUGCUAGGGAAGAAAAAGAAGACAAGACGAGCGCGAAGGGAAGCGCAUUUAUCUCAGAAAAUCAGAGAAAACGACUCAAGAGGCCCAUAUUGCGAGAGGCUCGACCAGAGGUUAUCAGAAAGGAGACCUAGUUCACUCGAAGGAGAGGAGUGCAAGCAGUUGAGAUAAGAAAAAAGACCUAUAAGGACUUUUAGAAAGACUAUUUUCUGACUAUGCGGGAGAGAGAUUUGACCACAAAACCCACUAAAAGGAAUGCUCCUUCUCCGUCCUUCUACGGGGAAAUAGCAUUUCUCUAACGAGAAAUCCUUGUUCUCAUUUGCUUAAGGAGUUUUGGACUACUUCGUCCGCCUCAUCCUAACCACCUUGUGGUAGGAGAAGGAGAACCGCGCCCAGUAUGCCUUCCCCAAAGGAAGGAGGUUUCGGAAGGACUCGACUAGGGUCCGGAACGAUGUAGCCUUUACCUUUAGGCCCCGAAUCGGAAAGGAUAGUUCAAAAAUAAUAUAAUGCCUGAGGACGGUGGGAGUCUUUCGUAUUGAGCUGCGGUUCUUGCUCGGCCUGCUGGGUGUCGGAAGAUUAGGCUAUCAAUGAGAGAAUGUGCCAUCCCUUGUCCCAGUUCUUCUUGUUGAAGCCGUUGGAGCAGCCGAAAGUUUCUAAUUUCAGCAAAGUGAUUUGAAAAAUCAAGGUCAUCUCAACGCAUAUUUCAUUGCACCGCGGAGUGGGGCGCAAGUAAAUCAAAGAAAAGAUGGCGGGUGCAGAUGUGCCAUAAGACAGGUCCGAAGGACAGACAGGCGCAUUGAAGAAUUAUAAGGGGACCAGAUGACGGGGAAUUUUGCGUGAGUUGCGUGAGAAAAGAAAUUAAUUGACUGGAUCUCAUAUGGAUUUCUUAGUCCUCCGGAGACGGUUCAUCUUUCUUUUUUAGUUCCAUUAAUCAGUCCUUCGGACCGGUAAGAGGUGCAAAGAUCUAUGGCCCACUACGGGGGAUAUUGUUCAAAAACAAAGGCUCAUCUUCAACCUUGUUUUUGAUGCGCUCAGGUAUUGCCAUUAGAAAAUUUCAACUUCGAAUUUCUUCUCUACUCAUUCAACUUCGAAUUAAGUUAAGAUCUCCAUUUGAGAAUUCAGAUCUCAGUCUGAGUAUGAGAUCGAUGACGCAUGAGUUCCAUCAAGGUGGUAACAAGAGAAGAGUUCCAGCCAGAGGAAGCAAGGUUUCAGACCAGUCUGAUUUAUGGAACUCAAUCUUUCUGGGAGUCUGAAUGUGGGCUAGUUUCAUGAGUUGGAUCGGAGAGAAGGAGCUGAGUUUACUCAAGGGAGACAUUUAAGCGGAAGCCUUGUGCAAAGAAUAUUGCGGUUCAGUCAGUUAAUAAGGCCCGAAGCGAAGCGACUGCCCACGUAGCGGUAAGGAGCGCAAAUCGACAAAGGAGUCCUUCUCCGUCCGAAGGACCAAACAAAAAUAGAAUGUGCUUCUCAUCUCAACAAGAGAAGAAAGAUCAGAUUUCUCAACUACUUAUUAAGAGAGAGAUCUGAACCUAAUAAAUACUGAAGAAAAGGCUAGAAGCGACUUAAGAGGAGGAACCCACUCAAAUCAAAGUCAGAAGAACCGAAAGCGAAGCGACUGAUCGAUUUCUUGCUAGGAAGAAGGGGAAAGUUCAGUCAGGAGCGGAGCCCCCCCUAGGAGAAGGAGUCCUUUUCAUAGAAAGGAAUCAAAUAGAACUACUCCUCUAUAUUAGAAUAGCGAAUAGUCCUUCGCCUAAUUCCGAAAACAAAAGUAAUAGUAUUCAUCUUUUCAUAGAUCGGUUUUUUAGUUCCUAUUUACUGAAUAUGGCAAUUAUAAGGGGUCCAGAUGCGCGAAGCGAAGCGACGGAUAGAAGGCGCAAAGAAUAUUGCGGUUUGGAGGAGUGCAAGGCGCAAAGAAUAUUGCCCUAUUUAAGGCCUUUGCUUUGGGAUCAUGACUCUCCGCAAUAUGAAAAGCUCCUAACGUCUCCUUUUAUAGCUUUAAUUAAUCAUGACUCGCUACAAUAUCCCUGUCUUAUGGAGCGGUCAAUGAAAUAUGAGAAAGAAUUUGAGAGGCGCAACUUAAGGACAUAGACAUUUGUGGAUUCUUCUUAAUCAGUUCAUUAACGAGAAUGAAAGAAGCUAAAAACAAAAAGAAUCUGCUAGAUUUCAGAUGAAUCCGCGGAGGGAAAUGCUAGGUUUUGGGCUCGACUGAUAAGGAGAGCUGAAAAGAAAUAGUAGCAAGAAAAGACAAAAAAUCAGUCAAAAAAGUACUUUUAUCGUUAAAUAGAAAUCUUCGAAAAAGUCCUAUUUAGAAGCAAAAAAGCCGGGAAAACGCAAUGAAAGAAGAACUCCUAGGACAGGUAAAAUCAAUGUCAGACUUCUAGUUUGAGUUUCUGGUCCGGAGAAAUACAGGUCUAUUCUUCUCAAUAUUCUUUGACCCUCCGUCUUCAAUCUCAAAAUCAAUGAAGGAGUACAAUGAACAUCAUAAGGGGACAGGUGACGGGGAGGCUGAAUUCAUUGAGAUUCUUAAGAAAUUGAUUAGACCACUUUUCUGGAGGGGUCCUACUAUCGUAGCAAGAGUAGCUGAAGUUGAAGUUCAACUUAAGGAUUCCCACGGAGCGGCCAUAAUAUCUAAAAGAAACUUCAGCAUUACUAGUCAGCCUCAUAAUAUAGAAGAUGAAAGUAGCGGAGGAGGAGUUUAUUGAAUCUGAUUUCACCUUCCUCUUCCAAAUCUACACUCAUUCAUUGAUCUAUUUUGAUCUAUAUUAUUCAUUCAAUCUCGCAAUAUGAACCUUCCUCUUCGAUAAUUCUUUGUUCUUUGUUCGCAACUCAUAUUGCAUUGAGCCUCGCAAUAUUCUUUGCGCCUUAACAUCCUUGGUCAACUCUUGGGGCAGUGGAUAGAGCUCGUCCCUAUUUGACUGACGAGGGUAGGGUUAGCUCUUAUGAGAAGUGCAGCUUGUUGACUGCCACAAAGCGGCUUUCCUCAGGCCUUGACUGUGGCGAGGCUACGCCUCUCUCAAGAGAAUCCGUUUUCCCGAAUCAAUGCGCGAAUUUCCUUUCCAUUCUAUCUCUUGGUUGAGAGAAAUGCGCCUGACUCGAUCGGUACCAGGGGCUAGCUAUUGACUUUGAUUCAUAGUAGGAAUAGGAAGAGAGACUCUUUGCAAUUCAGAUGGCUUUCUUCUUUCAUCGCCCCUUUCCCUUUCGCCCAAGGAAUCCUCUUCUUCGGCUCUGAGGCAAGAAGUCAGGGCUAAUUCUCAUCUCAUCCCGGUGACAAGUUGCACAUUCAAAAGUGAGUUCAGUUACUCUUAGCAACUCUUCGCGAACCUAUACUAGCUCCAAGAACUCCUCUCCUUGAAAGACAGGAUGAAUCUUAAGAGCAACUUUCAGUCUUAGCCCUAGCGUGGGUGAGUGGUAAGCGUAGGAGGCGAUAACGAAGGGCAGCGGCAGCAGUGUGUGUGGUUCCAGGUGCCGCCGCCUCAUUGAGAUCCGCAGGGGAGACUGAGAUUCUACUUAUGUAUGGGGUCGUAGGCUUAGUAGGGCUCGAACCUAGAAUAUCACCCUUAUCGUUAUGAGCGGUACCUUGAAAGCAAUGAAACUAUCCGUAUCUCUCUACAUGCAAUUCGCUCACUUCGGUAAGAGCGGACGAGGAGGCCUUUGCUCUCUCCUUUGUCCCAGGAAUGAAUUAAUAGCGAGACCGGAGGGAGAGGAAUGAAAUAGCGAGACCGCCCACGGAGCGGGAGAGGAAUUCUGAAUUGGAUAAAUACAAGAAGCAAGCGGCCCUUUCGCGAAAAAAACUGUCGGUACGCUUUCCGGCUUGCAAUGAUUCAAAGGGGCGGAGGCUCAGAACCUCAAAAUAAUACUGAAAGCCUAUCUUCGCUUUUAGUUAGAAGUAGAAGUAGAGGGCGCCCCCCACACUUCUCAAAAAGUAUGGAUGGAUUGACGAAGAAAAAAUACAUAAGGAGUCAGAAAGAAAAAGGUUCUUCAUCGAUAGUCGGACCUAUAUAUUCCACUGAUCAUGUUCCUGCUUUAUUUCAUAUACUUUACUACACCUAAAAAAUUCCUACCUCUUCCCCUUUCUGUCAAUCUUGCCAAUUCCGACUAAUGUACCCGAGUGCAUACAGUUGCCCAACUACUUUCUUUCUCCGACUUCUUUAGCCACUUUUCCGCAUCUCUUUUAUUCGAUUCGGGAGAGCUUGCUUCGUGGCGGAGCAUUUAGCAAUGCCAGCAGCCUAGUGAGGGUUGGCUGUCUGGGGACAGGUUAAGGCAGGGCCCGCUGCUUCCAUAAAAAAGAGAAGAAGAAGAAAGCCGGAGGUCAAGAUAGAUAUAGAAGGGAAGGAGCCCUCUCGCUUGCUUAGAUAGUUCCACCCCUGGGCUUUCUUCCGCUCCGUGGCUUUCUUUGUUCGGAACCUUCAGUAGUAAGAAGGUGAAAAGAAUAUUUCAUUGUCUUCUUCUUCUUCCUAUGCCUUAUUCACUUCCGCCCCGUGGGUCUGAAACUUCCUAUAUCCUCUUAUGAUACAAAGUCCUUAAGGACUCAAAUUCUCCAUAUUCUUUGUAUAUUCCGUCGGACUUCUUUAUAUCCGUCCGAAGGCAGGAAAAAUAGUAUUCAUCCUUGCGCUCCUGUUAAGGAGCAAAGAAUAUUGCGUUGAUGAGUGCAACUAAUUAAAUCAACCAUAUUAACUUCUCUCAAGUCUCCAACUUUUUUAUGGAUUCCUUCCAUCUCACCUUUACAGAGCAGCAGCUCUCCUUAUUUCAUUCCUCUGAACUCUCCUCGGUCAUCAGUAUCCUCGGACGGAAUGGAAUGACGGGCUUUGCACUCUGAUUUAGUAGGAGGAAAAGAAGUUCUCCCUCUGAUUUUAGGAGUUCAAAGGAGUGAACAAGUGGAAAGAAUGAAAUGGCUUUCCCGAUUCCGGGAAGGAGUUCAGCUGCGCAGAGUCCGACUACGCGGAUCGAAGGAGGAGCUUCACCGGAAAGAGGUUCGCAGAAGAAAAAUCAAGCUCCAGAUGAGUUGACAAAGGCUGAUCAAGUUUACCCACAGAUCUCAUAUCUUUAUGAAGAAAGAAAUCCCAUUCUUGCUCGAGCAGAAAGAAGAAAGAAGAGGCGCAAAGAAUAUUGAGAAGAUAAAGAAAGGCCUACCCCUCCAAAAUCAUUGAGGGUGAAUUCAGGGUCAUAGGGAGGGAAGCCCCACUCUUUAGUUUAGUAGGCUCUUUCCCUUCUUUAUUAGGUUAUUAGGAAGGAAUGCUCUAUUAUCUACAGGGAAGUAGGACCAUCCGCCAUCUGCUGUCUCCGCUGAGGAGGAAGGCUGAAGAAGGAUAGGGAGUCUUCUUCCACGAAAGAAUGAAGGUCUAGUUCAGAUCCAUAUCAAAAGAGUGAUAGCGACCAUAUGACCUGGAAUUCCUUUCUCCCUACUUCUUUCUCUAUUCUGAGUCCUCAACUUGCACUCCUUAACAGUCGCUUCGCUUCGUCCCUCUCCGGAAUUCUCUCUCCCUUCCUAUCCGAUUUACGGGGUUGAAGUAGGAAAGUAUUCUGAAUGAACUAGUCCAUCUCGAACUCGAGAAGACGGAGGCGCCCCCAGCUAUCUCUCAUAGGUCGGGGGAAUAGGGCAUGGCCCAGUCUCAGCACACCAAGCAAGAGCAGACUGCCUCGAAGAAAGGGUCGGGCAGAAGAGGGUUUCCGGCCAAACCCGGGAAUCAAGGUAUUUCAUUACUUAAUGAUUAGUCUUCUCCGUCACCGACCGACCGAGUGGGAGAGUCCGCCUUCCGAGCGGUUUUUGAUGACUGAAAUCUUAUCAUAAGUAAUCGCGCCUCUUUCUGUACAUUAAGCAAGGCGCUUCUAAUGGAUAGUCCGGAGGACGGGAAGAUUGCCACUUUCAUAUUUUCUUCUAAUAUCAAAUGAAUGAAGAAAGAGAAUUACUUAAUUAUGACUGCAGAUCUUUCUAAUAUCAAAUGAAUGAAGAGCACUUUCGCGCCUCACUACUACAAAAAGUUCCCCUUUAGGCUGAAUGAAUUGAGAAGAUGCGCCAUAAGACAGGCGCAAAGAAUAUUGCUCGAAGAGUGCCAUAAGACAGGGAUAUUGUUGAGAAGAAUAUUGAAUGAAUGAAUCUACCUUUCAAACUACUACUGCUACAGCUGAUUAAGUCGCUGCGCUCCAUCUUUCUUUCCUUCCCUUUCCUCCCCCUUCUCCCGCCCUGCCACUACUAGAAAGCCGGAAAGCCCGUUUUAACCCCUCUCGCGAUAUUAUCGUUGUUCAAUGAUUGAUUCAAAGAAUGAUCCCGAAAAACCAGAGUGAAUCCUAGCGUUGCCAACGGAUUGGGACAUUGUACUAAACGGCAUCAAUUGUAGGCACCCGUUCAUGAGCCCCUUAGUGGGUGGCCCUGGUCGACCCGGUCUUCGGACCUACGAUCAGGCUUGAACCUUCUUCCCCAUAAAGAAGAGAAAUCAGGCUAUUAAGGCAUGAAAUGCCCAACCCUAGCAUCUGCUGCCACUGCAACUGCAAAAGCAAGAAGAAAAGAACAAGGGCGGAAACUAUCCCCCGGGAAGUUCAUAACCUUCUGUGUUUUAAACAAAGGAGCGCAUCAUGAAAGACGAAUGAGAUCAAUCUCUCUCCCAAAUCUCUCUCUUCAGACAAAGACGAAAAGAGCUUGAUUUUGCAAAUUCUUUUUCUGUCAAAAUCAGGAAGAUCAUAUGAGAAGAUUAUGCCUCCAACUUUUUGAUGGAUGCCUUCUAUCCUUUCUUUAUCUUUCUCGUAAACUCACUCUCGCAGCUUAGCUUCGCUUCCUCCUUUGCUUUGGAGUUGUCUUUCUUCUUUUCUUGUCUUCUUUGUAAUAGUCUUACCUACGGCAACUCAUAUUGCAUUGAGCCUACUACGCCUUCUACGGGAGUGGGGAGUAACCUAAUAAAUACUGAAUAAGACUCUGUAGGAGCCGUAGGAGAAGUCCUUCUCCUCUAAGAAAAAAGCCUAGGUCAAAGAACAAGCAUCAGUGUCUUUCGGUUGCCAAGAACAAGUUUCAUCGGAAGUCAGAUAAGUAGAACACCGAGGUAAGAGGCGCGAAGAGGGAAUAUAAAUAGUCAGACUAAAGGGUUCAGCCGACCGAGUGGGAGAAAGAGACCGGCGAGAAAGGUAGGUUUGAAUAGAAGGAGCUAGCCCACUAGAAUAGGGCUUAAUAGAAUAUUCUAGAGCUAACCCCAUAGGGUGCAGAACGACUGGGUAGAUCUUUGAGAAGAUCAGUGCUGAUGGGAGGGAGAUCCGUUCCGUAGACCGGAAAUAAUACGACUUCUCUGAGGUAUGGUAUUGCUAGCUUGCUUACUCUGAAUAAGGAGUAGGCGCGGGCGGCCCAGUGUCUCGGUUUGCCGCGAAAGAGAAUUCCCCCACCAGGUUGAAGUGCACGCCAAUGUAGAAUCCCUCGUAAGGAAGCAAGAUUGAAUGUCAAAUCAAAUCAGUCUAGUCUAUUUCCUAGAAAAUGACUUUUCUUUUCGAUGUGCGCAUAAAUACUCCUUUAAUGGGUUAAACCAGGUGGAUCGGCACAUAUUUGGAGUAGGUAAUGAGUACACUUCAGCCGCGUAGAAGGAGUCUUCUUCCUCUCGAGUGGAGUUUCUUUCCCCUUACUGACUACUGGGACGGGAGGAUUCGAACCUCCAAAUAGCGACCACUGCCCGCCCCAUUCAAGACCUUGAUCAUAGUACACUUCCGGAACAAGAUCUCAUACAGCGUAGACCCCUACGUCUGUCAGGUCGAUCCGGCCUCUUUAUCUGACUCAUUCCGAUCGAGACGGAUUCCUAUGCGGAUUUUUUUGAUUCUAUAUUACGAAAGACAGAUCCAGCCGCGUAGGAGGCGUAGGAGGCCUCCGCUAUAUACUCCUCCGGUUUUCAGACUCAAAAACAAAGGUCCAGAUGACUGAUUUAUUCCACUGAAGCUCGUCGGUCGGUCGGAAGCGAUAUAGCGAUAUUGGCUCUCCCGAUAGAACCCAAAAUCAGGCGAUCGACGGUCCGUCAGAGGGAAUGAAGUAGAAAAAGUCUUUAGAGACCUGAGUGGCUCUGUUCCGGUUGAGCCUGUAGCCGUUGUCACAGCUCUUUGAAAGAAGCUAUUUGAGAAAUAUGUCACAAGUAAGAAAUGGAUGAAAUAGCUAGACAAGGUAGAAGUUAGAGGCAGGAGAAAGAAAGUCCCAAACGGAACUCCCCAACACCAGCAUUGGAUCUCGCAGGGAAAUCAUCCAAAGAUCCAUACUGGAAGAAAGAGCCUGUUCUUCUCACUUUCGACGUACAUUAUCAAAGAGAGAGAUAAGAAAACCCCUAGAAAGUCGCUAUCCUCCCAAUUAGCUUAGGAAGGAGAGUCCAGAAGACGUACUCAUUCCCUAUGUUUUGAAUAUGUGCACCUCGGCACAAGGCCCCGUUCCAGUUGAUGAAGUGGCAGGGGAAGUCAGUUCCCCCUUAAGAUCUGUCCUCGCUCUUGUUCUUUAAUAAGAUGCUUAGUUUCGCCUACCCCAUGAAUUUGGGGAUUUGACCUCUCCGUCCGAAGGACUCCUACGUCGAUUUGCGCUCCCAGAGUAAUGUUUAUAAUAGUCUGUAAAUCAUUCAAAAAACAAAGGUCAUCUGAAACCCUUUUUUUGAUGCGCCUCAGGCGCAAUGAAAUAUGCGAGUAGGCUGAAUUCAUAUGAGUUUAAGUAGGCGUAGGCGCGAAGCGACUCUUAAGGAGUGCAAGUUGACCUACUAAAUGAGGCGGCUCUUGGACAAGUUCGUCAUUCGAUAGGAAAUAGGGUGCUCCACCAGGAUGGACAAAGGCUCGGCUUCCAGGUACAUUGGGGUAGACUGAAAGAAAGAGGAGAAAAGCUCUCAAUUGCUUAUGAGCCCUUAUCCAAGAAGGAAGCUUUUCUCUUAAAGGAUUCCACCGCGUGAUCUCCUUUCAACUUUCUCUCUUUCCAAGGCAAGGAUUGACCCUCUUUUCUUGGGUUGGGUAGCAGUUCUUCUUUCAGUUUCAGCGGGAGAAGUUCGUGCUUUUCUUGCAGCUGACCGCUCCGUGGGCUCUGUCCCAAGCCUCUGCUACCAUUCAAAAAGACCCUGACUCCUGAAACCCUGGAUUGGCAGGGUGAAGAAGAUUAUAAGUCGGCUCAUCAUUCUAAGGUCCGGAGGCUCCGUAGGAGUUGAGAGGUUGCUGCGAGACAAAACUCUUCAUUCUCAGCUUCCGUUGAGUAAGUGCUUUCCUCUUCCUGAACUUUUCAUCGAUCAGUCGCUUCGCUUCGCGCCGGAGGACGACUGAAAGGAGAGGCGCAAAGAAUAUUGCGGAAAUAUGCAUUGAAUAGGCUCAAUGUAAUAUGAGUUGACGAAAAGAAAAAAGAAAAGAAGCUCAUUAACGACUAAUGGAUAAAGAAGUCCUUCGGACGGAACAUGGGAAUGAAAAAUGUGCAUCUUUGUGCUAGAUUUCAGAUUAAUCCGCGGAGGGAAAUACAAGAAAAUGCUAGGUUUUGCCCAUAGGGAAGUAGCAAGAAAUCAAGUCAAAUGCCUUCUUUUUCACUCAAUUAUCGUAGAAUAUCCAUAUGAGAAAAAGUAUGAAAAAGAAGCAAAAAAGCCGGGAAAACGCAAUGAAAGAAGAACUCCUAGGACAGGGAAA
rnacentral:lncRNA from 1 species